CAGGAUUCUGCCGUUCGCUUCCAACAUCCCUAACUGCCACCAACACUCGCACAGAGUGAACUGGCUAUAUAUCUUAGCACAUCUCAUUCAAUUGCAGCAAAUGCAUACUGGCUAUUGUAAACAUAAAUACAGCAAAGCCCUGAAGACACAGGACCGAAUUAGACAGAUGCUUACCUGUGUCACAGAGCUAACACUGAGGUACUGGUGAAGACAGAAAAUAACAUACAAACUAAUAAAGAAAACUUGUUCAGAUGGUGAUGAGUAAAUCAAGAAAAUAAAACAAGGUAAAAGAGAGAAUGACUAGGCAUGGGUAUAUUUUAGUUUGUCUGGGCUGGGAAGUUCUCUCUGAGGGACACAUUUAAACCCAGACAUGAAUGAUGAGAAAGAACCAGCCAGGCUGAGAUCUAUAGUGCAAUUGGAGAAACCAAACAAAUUCUCAUGAAGCAAUUAGCAAAUCCUUAAGGACUAUAUGUACCACAAGGUGGUAGCCAUGAGAGUGUUUUGGGUUAGAGAAGGGAAAGCUCUCUCUUCCCUUGGGGAAGGCAGUUGGGUAGGAUUUCAGGGGAGAAGAGGAAGAAGGAAGGACAGAGACUGCACAUAAAGAUUUUGCAGAGUAGGUUAGAGGUGAGGUAACCGAGGAGCUUGAAGUACAAAAUUCUAGGUGUCAUGUAGAGACAGG
rnacentral:lncRNA from 1 species